CCUCUACUCAGGUCAGAGUCUGACUGAGCCAGGCAUGUGACUACUGCUCUUUCCCAACAUAACUCAUUGCAUUUGCACUUGCACAAGGGUUACCUCAUCCUCUCCCAGGAACAGCUGCCAAUCUCAGGGUAACCUCACUUUUCUGUGGAGGGGGGAAAUAUGAGCUUUACGUGUGAAAUUGUUUGUAGCACAGUCACUUCUCAAUGUUGAGGUCGAUGUGUGCUUAAAUUGCUCUGAGCAACUGAGUUUAUCCUAAUUCCUCUGUCACGUUCCCUUGCUGCAGCUGUGACUCUGUUCUGUAACUUCUCUAAUUACACGUUGCAUUUGCUGCUGUCUGUUGCUGGGUGUGCUGUGAGCAUUUAGGUUUCUUUUUUUCCCCCCUCUGCAUUCCUGUAAUGUAAACAGUAAUGUAAACAGAUUCAUUGAAGUGUAUUUAACCUGAAAUAAUCUAGAACGCGUUGCUUUGGGCUGUGUAUUUUAGGCGCUGCCUUCUGCAGUUCUGUAUUCACUUUCUUUGUGCAAAGAUGGGAGGGAGGAUCGUCUCUUUUAGGCUGCACAUAGCUGUAGGUUUUCUUUGCUUCAAACAGCUGCAAUCCACGAUGCCAUUGGUGCUCAGACUGGGCGUGUUUUGACAGCACGGAGCUGCUUUGCUAACUUGCACUUAACGUCGGUGCACGAUCCCAAUACUCAGAGUUCACCUGUAGGGUCACCUGAAAAACUCAAAGGUCUGUGGGCUGAGCCACGUUUAGCAACAUGUUGGGCAGCCAUUGGAGGGCGGAAAGUGCAGGACCUGCUAUUCCCCACCCCACCCCCCCUUCCCGAUAAGCUGUCCCCCGGGGCUAUUGACAGAGCUAUUAAAUAUUCUGCAUUUAUUGGAGGAAAUAAAGAUCUCAGAACAAUAUUCAAGAGGGUCCAGAGUACUACUCAGACCUAUACAAGGCUGCAGAUGCUACCAGUACCACAGUAGAGGAACUGGGAUCCAGGAUCUGCUGCACAGCUGUGGAGGAGCUGGGAAGUGGUUCCUACUGUGUCUUCAGGAGGUGAUCAGUUGGUGUGUACUGUUUUCAUCCAUGUCACCUGCUCCUUUAGUAUUGGACCCAGCAACUCAUCACAUUGUAGCUGUUCGCCUCCUAGAAGCCAUAGAAAACACUGACAAAAAGGAUGCUCGAAUACCUUUCUAUCACUUUUCCAAUUUUCCUCUCCUUUUUAAUAGCUGCAAAGUCAUUAGGAUGACUGGGUAAGGAUGAUAAAUUUGCUGAUGAUGAGGAAGUGUGAACAACCCAUGUUCAACAAUUGCUUAUCUCCAAAGGCUCCUUAAGAUGAAUAUUAUCAGUUAAAUGAAAGCUUUUUUUUUUCCCACUCUGUGUUGCUGUGAUGGAGGGAAAAAGAAGAUACUGUGUAGUUUAUCAAGUCUAGAGAGGAAUAUUCUGAUUGUAGAUCAAAUGAUUAAACCAGAUAACUGGCAUCAUGCUGGCCAUUUACCUAGAGUAUAAAGAGGUUUGAAUUAAUUGGCAUUAAUGGAGUUGUUAUAUUUAGGGGGAUUAUAUUGAAAUACCCACAGUUGUCCUUACUGUAUGUGGUGAUGAAGCUCUUCUGGAUGAUAUUCAGGGAGUGGCAUUAAAACUUAAUUUAAAGAAAAGAGCAGCAACAAAAACCCACUAAUAUACAUUCUUGUGCUUAUUGCUUGACUUGGGCUUUGUUCCUUUCUUGGUACAAAGGAGGUAAGACCACAGGAUAUCUGAUGUAGCUAGACAUGAAUAUUUUAAGGUCUUGGUUUUGAAAGCAUCUUAUGUCUUUUAUCUGUACACUUCCUGCUCUACCCCUGUAUUAUUAGCACAACAGGCCCUUCCUAUUUGGCAAGGAAGAAAAGCUGAGAGAGUCUAAGCAUUGCAGCCUGGAAACAACUUUGAGUGUAGCUAUGCACCUGCUAUCUUUAGGAGCACAGACUGUAAUAACAACAAUGUUGCUUCUGGUUUCCAGAUCCAGAGACGAUGGAUGAAGCUUCAGUGUUUGUAACUGCUGUUGGUCUGGUGGGAGAACUGGGAGGCUGCUGAUAUAGCUUAAAAGGGGAACAGCAGUGUAUCUAUGGAGCUGAGGGGGUAAAGCUUUAAAAACAGAAAUACACUGCUAUGUAUUUACUUGAAUUGAUCAAUUUUACCAUUAUUCGUUCACAUUUCGCUACUUAAAAGCUUUAAAUCAAGAAAAUGUGAGGCCUUGAAUGCUGCAGCUUUGGUGGCUGUU
ensembl:lncRNA